rnacentral:rRNA from 1 species
AUUGAACGCUGGCGGCAUGCUUUACACAUGCAAGUCGAACGGCAGCACGGGCUUCGGCCUGGUGGCGAGUGGCGAACGGGUGAGUAAUGCAUCGGAACGUGCCCAUGUCGUGGGGAUAACGUAUCGAAAGGUACGCUAAUACCGCAUACGCCCUGAGGGGGAAAGCGGGGGAUUCUUCGGAACCUCGCGCGAUUGGAGCGGCCGAUGUCGGAUUAGCUAGUUGGUGAGGUAAAGGCUCACCAAGGCGACGAUCCGUAGCGGGUCUGAGAGGAUGAUCCGCCACACUGGGACUGAGACACGGCCCAGACUCCUACGGGAGGCAGCAGUGGGGAAUUUUGGACAAUGGGCGCAAGCCUGAUCCAGCCAUGCCGCGUGAGUGAAGAAGGCCUUCGGGUUGUAAAGCUCUUUCGGCCGGGAAGAAAUCGCACUCUCUAACAUAGGGUGUGGAUGACGGUACCGGACUAAGAAGCACCGGCUAACUACGUGCCAGCAGCCGCCGCGGUAA